rnacentral:rRNA from 1 species
UGGGGAAUAUUGGACAAUGGGCGCAAGCCUGAUCCAGCCAUGCCGCGUGAGUGAUGAAGGCCCUAGGGUUGUAAAGCUCUUUCACCGGUGAAGAUAAUGACGGUAACCGGAGAAGAAGCCCCGGCUAACUUCGUGCCAGCAGCCGCGGUAAUACGAAGGGGGCUAGCGUUGUUCGGAUUUACUGGGCGUAAAGCGCACGUAGGCGGACUUUUAAGUCAGGGGUGAAAUCCCGGGGCUAAACCCCGGAACUGCCUUUGAUACUGGAAGUCUUGAGUAUGGUAGAGGUGAGUGGAAUUCCGAGUGUAGAGGUGAAAUUCGGAGAUAUUCGGCAGAACACCAGUGGCGAAGGCGGCUCACUGGACCAUUACUGGCGCUGAGGUGCGAAAGCGUGGGGAGCAAACAGG